CCGAGAACCGGUGCCCUCGUGGCCCGACCCUCAAACCACCGCGUACCGAACUUGAACGUUGCCUCGGCGGGCUGGACCCCAGCGGUCCCCCGGGCCACCGCGCCCGGGAGCCCGCCCGCCGCAGGACACCAAAGACCGUUUUCGUGUGACGAACGUCUGAUAUUCUUCUUCGCGAAUGCGAUAAAGUA
rnacentral:misc_RNA from 1 species